CUACGGGUGGCAGCAGUGGGGAAUAUUGCACAAUGGGCGCAAGCCUGAUGCAGCCAUGCCGCGUGUGUGAAGAAGGCCUUCGGGUUGUAAAGCACUUUCAGCGGGGAGGAAGGCGGUGAGGUUAAUAACCUCAUCGAUUGACGUUACCCGCAGAAGGAGCACCGGCUAACUCCGUGCCAGCAGCCGCGGUAAUACGGAGGGUGCAAGCGUUAAUCGGAAUUACUGGGCGUAAAGCGCACGCAGGCGGUCUGUCAAGUCGGAUGUGAAAUCCCCGGGCUCAACCUGGGAACUGCAUUCGAAACUGGCAGGCUAGAGUCUUGUAGAGGGGGGUAGAAUUCCAGGUGUAGCGGUGAAAUGCGUAGAGAUCUGGAGGAAUACCGGUGGCGAAGGCGGCCCCCUGGACAAAGACUGACGCUCAGGUGCGAAAGCGUGGGGAGCAAACAGGAUUAGAUACCCUUGUAGUC
rnacentral:rRNA from 1 species